CUGACCUCUCCUUCCGCAUGCUGCAAGCCCGCAAACUUCUCAGCACCCUUGCGCAACAUGCGACUCUUCGGCCUCCAUCUCGCAUCUCGCAUCUCGUAAAAAAAUAUCCUCGAGCUCCACGCCAUUUACUCCUUCCGCAGGACGUUGCCUUCCACGAACGCCGCCUUGCACACGACGAUCGAGGGCUCAGGCUGACGGCGAGUGUGGAGGCCUCCAGACAACGGCAGCUCGACGGCGCCGGCCAAGGCCUCCGGGCAACUGCACCGCCCAAAGGGCUCCAGCGGCCGGGCAACUGCGCCGGCCAAAGGGCUCCAGCAGCCGGCGCCGGCGCCGGCCAAGAUCUCCAUCCGGUGCACGCAGACCCAGGCUCAACAUCCGGUGGCUUUGCGGCAGGGGCGUGCGGACAAGCGGCCAUCAAUGGGUUGCGUGCAGAGCGACUGAACAGACAUCGGUGUGUCGUGCACCGUGCGGCCCUGCAGCGAGGCGUGCAGCCAAGCCACAGCAACAACGACGCAGAAAGCCAGGGAAAUUGUACUGUAAUUUAUGUUAUCUACCAUGGAGGAGAGACGAGAAACCCACACUGCAUUUAGCAACAUAUCAAACAUCAUCGGACCAAGUGUAGAUAAUGAAUUGAGAAAGAGGGAAGAGAGCAAUAAGAAAUAACGGGAAUACCGAGCAUGGAAAAGGGCCGAAGAAAGUAAUGAACAAAGAGAGGAGCGAAAUAGAAAGCAACGUGAAUACCGUGCAAAGAAAAAAAGCUUUGGCAGGUAACGACGUCUGGACAUGCAAAUCAUGUACAGUCAGAUUCCGGGUGCACAGAUGUUGACAUGACAGAUGUGGUAGGAAGACAGUCACCAGAGGAGAGUGAUGUUUCAGCCAUCUACAAAGGAUCGAAACAUCAUGGUAAAGAAAAUGAUGAUCCAAAUGAGUCCAGCCACUGGCUACAUAGGAACGAUGACUAUAUGAGGCAAAAAACGGCCGCCAUUCCGGCUGUGCCAGACUGAAAGUUCAAACGGCAUCAUAAUAAAUUCAGGUGGUUAUUCGAACACUGCUAGACAGCUGACAAAACAAAACUGGUACCUGAAUAUGGAUGCGCCGAGCAAGGAGAAAUUGCUGCAGGAGAGGCGGGAAUAUAAGAAGGCAAAAGCAGAAGAAAACAAACAACAAUCCCGCCCUGCCAUUGCCCAAGAAAAAAAUAUUAUACCUAACAAUGACGUCGAGUUUGAUAGUGAUUUAUUCAAGCCAGGAGACCCUGAUUCAGAUGAUGAAGAUCAUCUAUGUGACCUAGAGGGAGAGGACGGAUGGGACAUAGGAGACACUCUCGGAGAUGUUGAGUCCAUACAGAUGCAUGGUGAAGAAUGUGUGUUCGAGUCAUACCGUAUCAAUUAUGAGAGCAUGGGCCAUGAAGCCGCUGAUGAUCCUUAUGACUUCGUCUACCAUAACUAUAAAAUAUUUAUUCAGGUAUAACGCUCCUGCUGCCUCACAAGUUGCUGCUAUCUGGACCCAUGGAAAUGAUCCCCAAAAAUGUUUUGAUAGGAGUGUUAUAGUAUACCCCAAAGGAGAAAAGAUGCGCUAUAUCAAAGCAUAUCAUUGUUUUUAUGAUCCAUUAGCAUAUCCUAUAUUUAAUCUUAGAGGAGAGACUGGAUGAAACCAAUUCAUGUCGUACAAUGAUAGUCCCACAAAUUCGUCAUCUCCUAACAAUGAGGAGCAUUCAGUACCAGAACCUGAAGAGAAUGGUGAAUGAGACAACGACAUACAACAAGCACGCUAACAGUUGGUUGCAAGAUUCUAAUUUGUAAGAGAGUGACCAUCAUAUUACAAGUUUGGAGAUGAAGUGAGGAGCAGAGGGAUGAAAGCACAUGCUUAAAAGGUUACAAACCACUAAAUAUUACCUUGUAUCUUAUAAUAACAAUCAUGAAAUUAUGCCAAUGUUUUGGGAUGGUAUGCCCAUGUUACUUCCCUGUAAAUAAUAGUUUAUUAGGUGAAAUGUGGAUAUACAAAAUAUGGGAAGCUGUUGGUGCAAAAGUAAUUCUGCAAACACAAAGGGCUAAUACCCGAUUUGAUGUUAA